rnacentral:rRNA from 1 species
UACGUAGGGUGCAAGCGUUGUCCGGAAUUAUUGGGCGUAAAGAGCUCGUAGGCGGUCUGUCGCGUCUGCUGUGAAAACUCGGGGCUUAACCCCGGGCCUGCAGUGGGUACGGGCAGACUAGAGUGCGGUAGGGGAGACUGGAAUUCCUGGUGUAGCGGUGAAAUGCGCAGAUAUCAGGAGGAACACCGGCGGCGAAGGCGGGCUC